CCUACGGGAGGCAGCAGUGGGGAAUAUUGGACAAUGGGCGAAAGCCUGAUCCAGCCAUGCCGCGUGUGUGAAGAAGGUCUUCGGAUUGUAAAGCACUUUAAGUUGGGAGGAAGGGUUGUACGUUAAUACCGUGCAAUUUUGACGUUACCGACAGAAUAAGCACCGGCUAACUCUGUGCCAGCAGCCGCGGUAAU
rnacentral:rRNA from 1 species